AAUUGCGAUGAGUGAUAAUGAUAACAAAUUGAAUUAAAAAUCGGGUAAUGACAGUAUGAUUGCACGUAGUCUUCCGGAACAAAAACUUCGUAUCCUGUUUGAGGAUUUAAAAGAAAGGGACGAACGGGGAAAUGCGUAUUUUUAGAAUGGUGGACAAAGCGAAAAUUGUGUGUUUUGUUGCGUUUUUGCUGGUGAUGGUCCAUUUGGGUGAGGGGCAGUUUUGGUUUCCUCCGCCAGAAGCUCGGAACCCGUCACGGGUAGCAGGAGCCAAAUCUCCGGAUGAAAUUAUGGAAAAAGUAAGCUCCAAGUUGGAAAAAGCUCAGUCGAAGGUGACGCAAGCCGCUGAAAAGGUGUCCGAAAAAAUCUCACCUUAUUUGAAUUAAUUUUGAUUGUGUAAUAAAUAAUAAAGGUCUAUGCACUGAUUAA